AUUGCUAGAGGACCCCAGAAUUUAGAUUGGAGUCGCCGGGUUUACAUGCAGGUCGUGGUCCGAAACGGGUCAAGGAGAAAGGGUUCUUGAUCCCCUGUUCUUCGUUCCAUCCUUGGCCCUCUCUUCCAUCCUCCCGAUUGGCCAUCUCUUCACCUCCUUCUUCUGGUUAGUCACUCACUCCGUCUUCUUUCUGAUUAGGCAGUAACCCUUCUUUCUUCUCUUCUCCCAUUCCCCAUUUCUUCUUUCUCUUUUUCUUCAACUUUAAAAAUAACUAAAUGAUAAAUAAAUAUAAACAUUAUAAAAAUAUAUAAAUAGUGACUAAAACAAAAGUACUUCUCGAGUUUACAGUUCCGUAAAACUUUAACCGUAACCCAAAAUCCUCUUCUGCUUGCGCCUAUGAGUUUGUAAUGUCGAGUACUUCAAGGAAACACUAAAGGAUUAAUUCCUACACCUCACUAUACGUUGAUUAACGAAAGUCAAGACCCUCGCCUCUAAGGGCAUUUUCGUAAAAUCAUACUUUUAAAAUUUGUAAAAACAUAAAAUUAGGGACGGGUCGUCACACCUGCUUAUGUGCAAUAAAAACUAGUAUAAAUUAUAAUAUAAGUAAAUUGGUAAUAUCAUAUGUAUGUUUUAGCACAUCGAAAAAUUACUGGACAUCUUAUUAUUUAUCUCAAAAUGAUAGGUAGACGUAAAAUAAUCGUCAUGAAUUUAUGACUUUUCUGUUUAUCAUUUUUUAUGGUUCUUUUUCUCUUUUUUGUGUGACUAUAGUCCCAAUAAAGGCACAAUUUUCACUUUGUUUUCUAGAUCAAUCACUUUAAUUUAAAAUAAAAUUUUCGCAUUAAUUUGGUUACUUAUCUAGCUAGAAAGCAUUAGGAACAUAUUGUUUAUAAUCAAAGGGAGACUACAAAAUUUAAACUUUGGACAUCUUCAACCUUUUAGAAGAAAAAUAUCAUUAAACUAAGAGCUUGAUGGAAGAAACAUCACCAACAUUACCAUGCUUGAAAAUUAGCAAACAUUUUGAUAGGGCAUUCUCCCUUGGGCCACAUUUUAAGAGAAACAAUGUUUUAUUAACACCAAAACAAUUACAAGCAAUAAAGAGAACACCUGAGCUUCCGCCCAAAUCCUCCUAAAAUAAAAAACUAGGGGGAGUGUAGUUAAUUUGAAUUUUAAAGGAUUUUAAAAAAAAAUUUACGUGAUAUAUUUCAAAGGAUUGUAGAAUCCUUACAAUUUUCAAAAGGAUUUUCAAGGAUUCUUAUGGACUAUGAUUAAAGAUUUGAACGGAUUUUCAAGGAGUCUUAUGUACUUUGAUUAAAGAUUUGAAUGGAUUUUAAGAGAUUCUUGUCAUUUAAAAAAUUAUUUCUUAAAUAGAAAAUAAGAUUAAACAAAAAAAAUAAAAAAUAAAAAAAUUGAAGAACUUUGCUCAAUCCUCCUGUGUAAUGUAACUCCAAUCCUCCAUGAUCCUUCACCAGCAGAAAAUUCAAAUACAAAUCAAGCUCCCCGAAGUCUAACUUCCACCAUACUUAUUCAUGAAAGCAAGAUGUAGAAGGAUUCAAGAUGUGGGGUAGAUAAAAUGGUUGGGUUGAGGGCUUUCCUGACGAAUUCCACCCAUAAAUGUAAAAUGCCUUGCCAUCCAAGAUGAGCCGAGUCCCAUUCCUCCCCACAAAACUCAACUUCGUUUCGUCGCGAAAAUUAAACUCCAAGUUACCGAAAGACAUGUAUAUGAAGGCUACACACGACGCGAAUCCGAUAAUUAGGUAGAAAAUGCCAUUUCCUAACUACCAUUUUAUUCUUCUUGCAGAGGACCUCAGCAUCAUAAAAAGCCCCAGAGUUUAAUAAUUUGAUUUGGGCUUUGUCUAAAUUUCUUUGAGCUUUGUCUCAAUUUUAUGGCAGACCUUCAAGCCUUUUUCUUUCCAAUUUGUUGUUCCUAGCAGUGAGUCAUUGUCCACCUGUUCCAGCUAUUCGGCUCCUCGGGUGCUUUCUCCAUGGAUUUCGAUUGAAGGUAUGCUUUGGGUUAAAGUAGUUGCUAAAGUUCAAUUUGCACGAUUUGGUAAGAUUAUGUGAGUGCUCGUAGCACGGGUGGCUUGCCUACCCCCGUUUUCCCUUUAUCCCUUAGGUUCAUUGGUUCUUCUCUCGACGGAGGCGGCUUGGUGGUGGUGAUGCAACUAUUUUGGUGGAGGAGGCUAGUUCCCGUUUUUAGAUUCAGGGUUUUCAGUUUAAGGAUUGCUAUGGGGCUCAUUUUGGGGGUUUGUUUCUCUUUUUUCCUUUUGUAUUUGGGAUGCAGUUUUAGUUUAAUGUUGUAUAUUGUCCUCAGACUUUUCUCACUUUGUAUCAAUGUGUUUUAAUGAAGGUAUGCUUUGGGUUAAAGUGGUUGGUAAAGUUCAAUUUGCACGAUUUGGUAAGAUUAUGGGAGCGCUUAUAGCACGAGUGGCUUGCCCACCCCUGUUUUCCCUUUAUCCCUUAGGUUCAUUGGUUCUCUCGACGAAGGCGGCUUGGUGGUCGUGAUGCAACUAUUUUGGUGGAGGAGGCUAGUUCCCGUUUUUAGAUUUAGGGUUUUCAGUUUAAGGAUUGCUAUGGGGCUCAUUUUUUGGGUUUGUUUCUCUUUUUUCCUUUUGUAUUUGGGAUGCAGUUUUAGUCAAGGAAGAAAAUAUCGGUAAUAUCGGAAAUAUCGGUAGUCCGAAAACACGGAAAUAUCGAUGGAAAUAUCGGGAUAAUAUCGAUAUCGAUAAAAAUUACAUGGAAACCACGGAAAUUGUAAGAAAAACUUGGAAAUUUUUAAUGAAACUUUGUAGGAUGUUUAUUUAGUCAAUUAUCUAUUAGUUUAUCACAAAAAAUUGGAAGGAAAUGCAUUGCAUGAUGGAUUUAACUGAUUUAAGUUGAUUAUAUAGCGAGCUGGCAAACAUUGUGAGUGUAGAAAAUAUGUAGUAAUUAAUGAAAGAAGUUUAAACACACCAUAAUCAUUUAUAUAUAAUUAAUUAGUACAAUAUUUGGAGGUUUUAUUUAGGAUAUUAAAAAAAAAAAAGGGAGUGAAUAAAAUGAUGAAGAAUAAUGUGCCGAAUUUGACAAUUUAAAUUUCUUACACAUAAGCAUGCGUCUAGGCGUUGAAGUUCCAAAUUAUAGUAUAUCAAUUAACAAUUGAAAAUCAAUACAUUGAAUAAGACUAAACUUUAAUUUGGAUGCCGAUUAUGUUUUUUCAAGUUGAUAUAAAGUAAAAGUAUUGAAUUUUGGAAGCCAGGAGUGUGUCAAUUGAAUUUUGGGCGGCGUGCAAGGUAUCAAUCUCUUCGUCUCUUCGAGGGCUACAACUUUCCUUUUUGUUUUCACUCAAUUUCGUUGCGUAUUGAAAAAGUUAUACUCAUUUGAAUCUUACCCAGUUUCCGGCGACCUCAGUAGCUUUCGAGGCAAUUUCCGGCCACACCACAAUGAGUCAGAUGUCGUGUGAGGUACCAUUCUCUUCGUCUCUUCGAGGGCUACAACUUUCCUUUUUGUUUCACUCAAUUUCGUUGCGUAUUGAAAAAGUUAUACUCAUUUGAAUCUUACCCAGUUUCCGGCGACCUCAGUAGCUUUCGAGGAAAUUUCCGGCCAAACCACUGCGAGUUGCCCGGUGUUCAAGGUAUCAAUCUCUUCGUCUCGUCGAGUAGUACAACUUUCCUUUUUGUUUCACUCAAUUUCGUUGAGUAUUGAAAAAGUUAUACUCAUUUGAAUCUUACCCAGUUUCCGGCGACCUCAGUGACUUUCGAGGCAUUUUCCGGCCAAACCACGACGAUUCAGACGUCGUGUGAGGUACCAUUCUCUUCGUCUCUUCGAUGGCUACAACUUUCGUUUUUGUCUUGCUUGAUUUCGUUGAGUUUUGACAAAGUUAUGACCGUUUAAAGUGGGUGUAAAAUUUCGGCCGAAAUUUUGAUUUUUUCUCCCAUUGGGCGAGUCCGACAUCGCCCAUGCAAGGAAGUGAGCAAGCCAUUUUUCCUAUAAAAGCCACACUCCCCUGUUGAGAUAUCCAAAGCUUGUUUGGUCUUUGGGCCAUGAUCAAGUGAAGUAUGUGUUGAGUUUACUUAACAUAUUUAAGUAUUUUUUUAAUAAAAUAUUGCGAUAUUAUCGAUAAUUUUGAAAAUAUCGCGAUAUUUUUGAUAUUAUCGAUAAUAUCGCGAUAUUUAACGAAAAUAUGUUGGAUAGUUAAAAAAAUUUCGGAAUUCCAAAAAAACGAUAAUAUCGGCGAUAUUUCGCCGAUAUUAUCGAUUUUUUCUUCCUUGGUUUUAGUUUAAUGUUGUAUAUUGUCCUUAGACUUUUCUCACUUUGUAUCAAUGUGUUUUAAUGAAGGUAUGCUUUGGGUUAAAGUGGUUGGUAAAGUUCAAUUUGCACGAUUUGGUAAGAUUAUGGGAGCGCUUAUAGCACGAGUGGCUUGCCCACCCUUGUUUUCCCUUUAUCCCUUAGGUUCAUUGGUUCUUCUCUCGACGAAGGCGGCUUGGUGGUCGUGAUGCAACUAUUUUGGUGGAGGAGGCUAGUUCCCAUUUUUAGAUUUAGGGUUUUCGGUUGAAGGAUUGCUAUGGGGCUCACUUUUGGGGUUUGUUUCCCUUUUUUCCUUUUGUAUUUGGGAUGCAGUUUUAGUUGUAUAUUGUCCCUAGACUUUUCUCACUUUGUAUCAACGUGUUUUAAUGAAAUUGGUUGUUUUUGGAAGAAAAAAAAUGAAAUUAGUUGUUAGACCCGAGAGAGAGAGAGAGAGAGAGAGAGAGAGAGAGAGAGAGAGAGAGAGAGAGAGAGAGCACUGCGAAUGUGAACGAAAUUUGAAGGUUCCUUAAGUAAACAAGUUCAAACCUAAGAAAAGCCCCCUAAAAUACCAAAGCUUGUAAAAGAGUCCAAAUGUUGGCGUAUUUUAUGUAGGAAACAGGGUUUCGAAAGGAAAUAAAGCUGGACAAAAGAUGACGAAAAGUUUACAUAUUCCGACCAAAAAUUGAGAAUGAAAAUACUCAUCAUUCAUCAGAUUCGAACUUAAAACAUAUUACUUAAAAAUGAAAAAAAAAAUACUACUAAAUUGUAAUACUAGGUGGCAUCAUAUUCCCGAAAUUUGAAUAUGAAGAAAUGAAAGAAAACAAAUGAAGUGUUCAAACGGCUUUUUAGGGUAUCGUUAUAUUUCAAAUACAUGUCAAAUGUAUUUCAUCUAGUUAUUCAAUCGAAAUAGAUUCACCCUCAUGUUUUCUAGUUUAUGUUGCAAAUUGUCAAACCCAAAUCCAUAUUUCAAAUCCCUCCACCCAACUAGAGAGUUUUAGAGCAUGUUUGGUACUCUACUUAAAUCAAACUUUUUAAACUCAAAAAUAAUUUUCAAGUUUUAAGUCUUAAAAACUUGUUUGGUAUGACUAUUUUCAAAAACUGAACUCAAGACUAAUUCAAAAUUAUAGUCUAUUAUCUAAAAACACAAAAAGUGAGUUUUUAAAGUUUUUAAACUUAAACUUACUUAUUUCUUUUCUCUCCCUCCUCCCCUCUCACUUCAAAUCUCUCUCUCUCUCUCUCUCUCUCUCUUUUCUUCUUUCUCUCUC
rnacentral:lncRNA from 1 species